rnacentral:rRNA from 1 species
UACGGGGGGGGCAAGCGGUUGUUCGGAUUCAUUGGGCGUAAAGGGCGCGUAGGCGGCGGGGUAAGUCGGGUAUGGAAAUCUCAGAGCUCAACUCUGAAAUGGCACUUGAUACUGCUCUGCUAGAGGAGUGGAGAGGAGAUUGGAAUUCACGGUGUAGCAGUGAAAUGCGUAGAUAUCGUGAGGAAGACCGGUGGCGAAGGCGGAUCUCUGGACAGUUCCUGACGCUGAGGCACGAAGGUCAGGGGAGCAAACGGG